rnacentral:lncRNA from 7 species
AAAAGGAGGGGAGGAAAAUAGGAUAAAAAGCCCUGUUUAACAAAGAGCCUUGAUGGAGCAGAUAGGCGUCCUUCUCUUGGAAACAAGUCCCCAAAUGAGCAAACAAGGCCGGAGCAACAACCUGAUUUUCAUGCAAAUGCUUUCCCUUCAAGAGUACCGCAAGAGCACAAACAAGGAUUAGCUGCUGACGGUCAUUUGCAUACCCUCGGCCAACUCCAAGCAUUUUUUAACCUCUAUGGCAAAGCAUUUCGCUCACCAUGAAUCGUCCCUUCCGCCCCUUCCUGUGCAGGCAGUGUAAAGAAGAUGGAGCCCAGGGAGUCUCCGGGGCCUUUGUAAGGGCUCGAUAUUGCUGAGCUGGGAUUUCGGCAAGAGACGGCGUGUGGAGCUAAUCCUGCAGCACAAUAACCGGCUCUACGCCGUGGGUGUCGAAUUUGCUAAACGGAGGUUGUUUAUUGUUUGCCCAUGUAAUGAUGUGCACGGGGCUUAGACCAAUUUGGAAAUAUUAAUAAACAUGACAGUGC